rnacentral:lncRNA from 1 species
GAAGAGCCCACGCUUAGUUGAAUGCUUUGCUGUCAUUGUCUUGAAAUUUUUCAGACUUUUUGAGCAUGGGGCCUGCAUUUUAUCUUGGCACUGGGCCCUACAAAUUGCCUAUCUGUUCCUCUGCAGCCUAGUUCUGAAGUAUCCUAUUGUGCCUGAAAUGCCCGGAUAAUAACCAGAGGAGACAUCGACCAACAUUGACUCCAUCUGAGCUGGGAUGCUGACACAGUGCCCAUGCUUUCUAGCCUACCACCAGAUUUAACUCAGAGGUCCUGAGCUAGAAGCUAAGCUAACCACCAAGAAGGGUGCCUCUGGUCAAGUAAGGAACUACCAACCAUUCUAAGACCUGUUGGGCGAGCUUAUCAGGUUCCCAAUUUCUCCAGAAAUGCCUGGCGGUUUCAAGGAUCGAGAUAAGCACAGCUGUAAUCUACCAUGAUCCAGAGCUUAUUCACAGAUCACAGCUGUGUAAUUUCAGGAAGAUUGCUCUUCUAAUAUUGCCACUGAGAUAUUCAAACACAAUGAGGUGUGGAAGCUGGGAGGAGACGGAGAUGCUCUUAUUGCUGAAGGCUGAGGCAGGUUAUUUCCCUAUCUUCUUUAAAUGAUUGCGGUGGGAGAAAGUGGAGCUGUAAACACAUGACCUGAACCUGACUCCAGAAUGGCUAAUUGAAAGCGUAAGUUGACAGCCAUCUCACUUGUUUAAAAUAACAUGGUUUCUGUUAUGUAUU